AAGCAUUGGUAUCAAAGCAGAGCGCGCGAGGUCUCAUUUUUCAAUGUGACUGACAGGUCCCAUCUCUUCACUUUCACUGACACCUUCUCAAGGACGCUCCACCCUUAUUUCUGUCCUGGUUACAGUGCUGGGGGUAAAAACGCAGCUCCCCUGAUAAUCUGCCCAGUCCCAGCUCAAGCCAGAGGGAAUCUUGGUCCCUGACAGUGACCCUGCGGCACAGGCUGUCCCCUCCCAGUGCUGACCCUCCCCAGACAGUCUGCAGCCCUGCACACU